UUUAAGUUCAAAACUUUUUCCUUGUUUAGUCGAGAGAGAGAGUUUCAUGCCCAAUUAAUAAGAAAAUGGUAGGCCCAUUUAGUAAUUAAUAGCCCAUAUUUGAUUGCCCAUAGGGCCCAUAUAUGCUUCUCUGUAGUUUGCCCGGAGCUCAAGAAACGAUCUACUACUUUGAGCUACUUCUUCGUCUUCUUCUUCUCUAUCUCUCGGAACCCUUUGGCUCGAUUUGAUUACCUCUCUUCACUAAGGUUUAAAGGAUGAAGCUUGAUACUAGUGGGUUCGAGACAUCCAUGCCUACGAUUGGAUUCGGGUCGAGCAACGAUAUGCUUGAUGGGUUUACUACUGUGCCCUCCUUUGACCUUCCCCGCACUACUGAUUUCGAUGGGUUUCAGAAAGAAGCAGUACAGAUGGUGAAGCCAGCGAAAGGAACAACCACGCUGGCUUUCAUCUUCAAAGAAGGUGUUAUGGUCGCUGCUGACUCUCGUGCUAGCAUGGGUGGAUAUAUCUCGUCACAAUCUGUGAAGAAGAUUAUUGAAAUCAAUCCUUAUAUGCUUGGUACAAUGGCUGGAGGAGCUGCUGAUUGUCAAUUCUGGCACCGUAAUCUUGGAAUUAAGUGCCGUCUACAUGAGCUGGCAAACAAGAGGAGAAUAUCUGUUUCCGGAGCUUCAAAACUUCUAGCAAACAUGCUCUACUCAUACCGUGGAAUGGGACUUUCCGUCGGCACAAUGAUUGCUGGAUGGGACGAAACUGGUCCUGGACUAUACUAUGUGGACAACGAAGGAGGAAGGCUCAAGGGAGACAGGUUUUCAGUCGGUUCUGGUUCACCAUACGCUUAUGGUGUACUUGACAGCGGGUACAAAUUCGAUAUGUCAGUUGAAGAAGCAUCUGAGUUAGCAAGGAGAUCAAUCUACCAUGCGACAUUCCGUGAUGGAGCUAGUGGUGGAGUUGCUAGCGUGUACCACGUGGGUCCUAAUGGAUGGAAGAAACUGUCGGGAGAUGAUGUUGGGGAGCUACACUAUCACUACUACCCUGUGCCACCAUCCACUGCCGAACAAGUCAUGGAGGAAGCGGCCGCCGAGUAAUAACAUUCACUCUCUAGCUUAAACUUUGUUUCUCACUAUAAGAUUCUCCUUUUAUUCUGCAAAUGCACACUCUUUAUUUUGUUCAAGCAGCUCUGUUUCCACCAUGAAAUUAGGACCGAUCAAAUCGAACCGAACUUUUUCAAAUAGUCGACUGUGACAGCCCUAGACUUUUGUCUGAAAUCAUUUAUCGAACGCA